ensembl:lncRNA
GUGGAAUAUCACGAUAAUAAUUUCAUGUUAUUCAAAAGUUUAGAUGGAUAGUGAAGGCUGAUGGGUUUGCAGUGUUGUGGUGGAUGUGGUAAGUUAGGUCGUGGGUAACUACAGAGAUAUUAUAAAAUAGAGAGCAGUGAAAGAACUGUGAAUUGUAUUGGAGACUUUUGUGACAGCAAAGAUGGUGAUAAAAGUUUUAAAAGUUUAUUUGAGGACAACAUCAGAAAACAUUUAAUUUGAUCAAAUUUGACUUGACAUUAUAUGCAGUUUUUAUUUCAUUAAAAUAAAAGUUAAAUGAAAGUGCCCAGAUGUUUCGGCAUGUCUGCUGACUAACGGAACUUGCUUCCAGAAGGAGUCAUCAAUCCGAAUAUAAGAAUUCCAAGUUUGACCUUCAUCCCAGCUGUUUAGAGUCGUGUCCCAUCUGUUGUUUCUGUGUUGGGCUAAAUAGUGAUUUCUGGUGUUUCUGUGUGUUUUUUUAUGUGUGACAUCUUAUAUUAUUAAAUAAACUGUAAUCAACAGGAUUUAUGAAGGGUUAUUAUAUUUUUAAAAAGGACCUGUUUUUAAGGUUUUUUUUUUUAUGUCUCUGCAGUGUUGUACCCCAUUAUAAUCAACCCAGUCCUUUUUGACCACUCAAAAUAUCUUUAUAAAACGAUUCUUUUUUUUUCUUCUUUUUUUUUUUUUUACAUUUAUUUUUAUUUAUUUUUUUGCAAUUCCUGCCCUCUUGGGCUGAUCUCUCUUAAAAAGCCAUUUUUAAUGUCAGUGAUUUUUACUGGAAUAAAUAAAAGAGUUAUAAAAGUAUUUUUAACAACAAAAAAAACAAAAAAUAAAACAACAACAAAACAGAUUGCGGCUUCUACAUUGUGGCAGGGAUAUUGUUUCUGGCUCAAAGUGACUUGAUAUCAUUCAUGAAAGAUAUAUUUGACAUAUGUUUCACAGAUUAUAGGCCAACAAGUUAUUUACAACAGUUUAAAUACGGACAAAAGUUAUUUGGCAAAUACCGGAAAUCACUUUUUGGAACUUAAAGUUCCCCACCUGCCAAAACCCUCUUGUAUAUGCAAAGUAUAAACAAACCACGAGCUGCCAACUCUUUAUUGCGUGGCACAAAAAAAAAAACGUGUAGUAAACAGGAGGCAAGGAAAUAGGUAUUAAGCCAGCUAAUGAGUUUAAGCUCCCCGAUGGAGUGCCAGUUUCAACUCCAGAGGGAGCCAGCAAGCAUGUUUCUAUCAGCUGUCCACUCACUAACAUGACCCGGACUCUUACAGGUCGGCAAGCUACAUUUGGGCUUCAUUUCUGUUUCUCCUGCAGAUAUCCAUCAGGUUCAUAAAAAGGCUUCCUAUCGCCGAGCUGGAAAGUAAUCUUUAAACGGCGCAUUUAUUAAAGGUGGUAAACUGUGCCAUCAAAAGCUCUGCCAUUUAACACAGAUGCCCAUCCAUCCAAUCUUUUCCGCUUAUUCAGUUCAGGGCCACCGGGGUCCUGAAUCCUAUCCCAGCCGCCAGGGGACUGUGGGUUAUGAUAAGUAAAAAGAACUUCGUGUGUUUAAUUCAAAUUAAAGUGUGUAAAGACGGCGGGGAAGCAGAUCCGGG